AUGAGAAUAAGCAACCCUAUUCCAAUGGCCAGAGAGAUGAGGAUUGAGGACUUAACCACCAGAAGAAUGUAGAUUCAACUCCAGAAGUUAUUUGGUUUCAGGCCUUAAAUUCAUUUGGCACUCCUCUUGGGACCCCAGUGGCAUCUAUAUAAACAUGAGAAUUGAAGGACCCAUGGGGGCCCUCUCUUGUUUGACGAUGUUUGGUUCCUACCCUCUCUGGUUGAUGAAAUGCCAGUGUGAGAUGGAUGGCCAAUUGAAUUAGAGCACAAAUUCCACUCCAGUUACUUGGCAGAGUGUCCAGUAUUGGUCCACCACAAUACCACCACGCAUCUGCUCAAGGAUGGCUAAGUGCAGACUGAUGGGGAUGUUAGCAGUGGAGUGUGUCAGUGACACAGGACCUGGACGCCAGUCAUGUGAAAUCCACAGUGUGUUGUAUUUCCCUGGAGAGAGCGUGCUGCAGCAAUGAUGCAUUGGAUUUCCUGCCCACCCAAUAAAAGGGAAAGGGAAGCUCAAAGGUGAAUUGAUUUUAAAAAGCCAGGAAGUGUACUAUUUAUGUUAGUUUUUGAACAAAGAUUCUUACCUGGUUCUACCUCUCUUCUACCCUUUUUCUAGAACACCUUUUGUUAACAACAUAUUGAAUAAAU
rnacentral:lncRNA from 1 species